rnacentral:rRNA from 1 species
GACGAUCUCUGGCGGCGCGCCUAACACAUGCAAGUCGAACGAGCGAGAGAGAGCUUGCUUUCUCGAGCGAGUGGCGAACGGGUGAGUAACGCGUGAGGAACCUGCCUCAAAGAGGGGGACAACAGUUGGAAACGACUGCUAAUACCGCAUAAGCCCACGGUGCCGCAUGGCACAGAGGGAAAAGGAGCAAUCCGCUUUGAGAUGGCCUCGCGUCCGAUUAGCUAGUUGGUGAGGUAACGGCCCACCAAGGCGACGAUCGGUAGCCGGACUGAGAGGUUGAACGGCCACAUUGGGACUGAGACACGGCCCACACUCCUACGGGAGGCAGCAGUGGGGAAUAUUGCACAAUGGGGGAAACCCUGAUGCAGCGACGCCGCGUGGAGGAAGAAGGUCUUCGGAUUGUAAACUCCUGUUGUUGGGGAAGAUAAUGACGGUACCCAACAAGGAAGUGACGGCUAACUACGUGCCAGCAGCCGCGGUAAAACGUAGGUCACAAGCGUUGUCCGGAAUUACUGGGUGUAAAGGGAGCGCAGGCGGGAAGACAAGUUGGAAGUGAAAUCUAUGGGCUCAACCCAUAAACUGCUUUCAAAACUGUUUUUCUUGAGUAGUGCAGAGGUAGGCGGAAUUCCCGGUGUAGCGGUGGAAUGCGUAGAUAUCGGGAGGAACACCAGUGGCGAAGGCGGCCUACUGGGCACCAACUGACGCUGAGGCUCGAAAGUGUGGGUAGCAAACAGGAUUAGAUACCCUGGUAGUCCACACCGUAAACGAUGAUUACUAGGUGUUGGAGGAUUGACCCCUUCAGUGCCGCAGUUAACACAAUAAGUAAUCCACCUGGGGAGUACGACCGCAAGGUUGAAACUCAAAGGAAUUGACGGGGGCCCGCACAAGCAGUGGAGUAUGUGGUUUAAUUCGACGCAACGCGAAGAACCUUACCAAGUCUUGACAUCCCUUGACAGACAUAGAAAUAUGUAAUCUCUUCGGAGCAAGGAGACAGGUGGUGCAUGGUUGUCGUCAGCUCGUGUCGUGAGAUGUUGGGUUAAGUCCCGCAACGAGCGCAACCCUUAUGGUCAGUUACUACGUAAGAGGACUCUGGCCAGACUGCCGUUGACAAAACGGAGGAAGGUGGGGAUGACGUCAAAUCAUCAUGCCCUUUAUGACUUGGGCUACACACGUACUACAAUGGCGUUAAACAAAGAGAAGCAAGACCGCGAGGUGGAGCAAAACUCAGAAACAACGUCCCAGUUCGGACUGCAGGCUGCAACUCGCCUGCACGAAGUCGGAAUUGCUAGUAAUCGUGGAUCAGCAUGCCACGGUGAAUACGUUCCCGGGCCUUGCACU